CAGACCUGGCUUCCAGUCCUGGCUCUGCCACCUCCCAGCUGUGUGAGCUUGGGCAGGUGACUUGAGCAAUCUGAACCUGCUUCCAUGAGGAUGGUUAUGUGGCCUGACUAAGGAAGUUUAUCUGAAGGUACCUGGUGUGGGGCCAGAGGACAUGUGUGGAAUCUGAAAUUUUUGUUGAACCUCAAGUUCCAAGUUGACAUGACCAGUAGUUCAGAGCUUGGCAACGGCACCACAAGGUGGAACUGGCAACUUCACAUCUUUGAACACUCCAGGCACAGCUGGCUUCCAGGGUGUGUGAUGGGCCCUACGCUCAGAAGGCCUCAUGCUCAGGGCUUCGUUCUGCAGUUCCAUCUUGAAGUUCUCAAUCAUUUCUUGCUGAAUCUCUGUUUCCUAAGUGAUAUCUGAUGGAACAAUGGAGCACACCCCAGGGGCUUGGACCCCCAGCUCACACACGUUCCUCCCUCCUGCUGCCUCCCCUGGAUGGGUUCUCAGCUGCUCCCUCCCCACACACUGGCACCCCACGACUCAUGAUCUCCUCUACCCUCUGUCUGGGUGCAAAUGGAUGAGUCAGCCAGGAAGAUUCACAUCCCACUCCCAGAGUGCCUGGUCCUUGUGUGACGUGGCCAGAUGGUUCUGAGCACUGUGGAGAGGGAAUAAAAUGACAAAGUGCUAAGGGAAACUGGAGCCACAGGGCUGCACUGUCCACUCGAUACACGAAUCCAAAGGAAAGAAACACAAACACUGGAGUCAGCACAGAUACGCAGCCUGCUUCCCACAGGACCGCAGGAAGAGCUCAUUCAGAGAGUCAGACACAUCCUGGACUCUCCCGGUGCAGAAAGAAGACCCGGAGUGGGUCAGUCAGUCCCUGGUGCAGGAGGCCUGGGGGACAGCUGAGCAGCCACAGGAAGGAACUCUGGGAGCUCACACGCGGUCCUCUGCCGGAGGAGUAAGAGAAGGGCUCCCCCCUCACCAGUGAGGAAGCUCUCAGCAGGAUUCAGGUGAAGGCUGUAACCCAAAUGAACCCCAAAUGCAUAAACCCUAACCCAGACACAGAACUGGCCUUCGCCGACUUUCUCAAUGUGCACAAAUUGCACUCUGAGGGCACCUACACUGAGAUGCAAAACCGCAACCAAUGUCUACACACAGGCCCAGGGGAAGCACAGGGACCACCUCAGAGAGGGCAGCAGCCCGCCCCUGUGCCUGUGCCUCCCCGCUUCCCAGGGCUCUGCAGCUUCUCUCAGCGUAAAGGCUCGUUCUAUGCCGGUGUGAGCAGGGAGGACACCGACAGGCGGAGGCUCCCCAGGAAGCACGAGUGGGCCUUGAAGCCCUUCCCUGUGCAGGCUCCAGGGCGCAUUACCUUAGAGACCCCGACCCCAGGCCUCUGCUCCCAAUCACACGGCUUUGGACCACAGCGAUCUUGUAAGUGACACAACCCAGCGUUUGAACAAUCCAGCAAAUUCACACAAACCACGGUUUACGUGGAAAGGAGGGAAGAAAAUUGUAAAGCAUUUU
rnacentral:lncRNA from 1 species